UUGACCUCAAAUCAGGUAGGACUACCGCUUGAACUUA
rnacentral:rRNA from 1 species